CGCGAGGUACCAGCCGCAUCGGAAAAACCGUGCGGCAAUGGGAAGACGUGAUGCGGAGUGAAGUUUAGUAAUGAAGUCCGUGAGCUGUGCGUCAAGAAAAGCCGCUAUUGUUCAUACCAUACCCGUACCGUAAACCGACACAGGUGGAUGAGGAGAGGAUCCUAAGGCCGGCGGAAGAAGCAUUGUCAAGGAACUCGGCAAAAUGACCCCGUAACUUCGGGAGAAGGGGUGCCUGCAAGAGCAGGCCGCAGAGAAUAGGCUCAAGCAACUGUUUAGCAAAAACACAGGUCUAUGCGAAACCGAAAGGUGAGGUAUAUGGGCUGACGCCUGCCCGGUGCUGGAAGGUUAAGAGGAGAGGUUAGCGCAAGCGAAGCUUUGAAUUUAAGCCCCAGUAAACGGCGGCCGUAACGAUAACGGUCCUAAGGUAGCGAAAUUCCUUGUCGGGUAAGUUCCGACCCGCACGAAAGGCGUAAUGAUUUGAGCGCUGUCUCGACAAUGCAUCCGGUGAAAUUGAAGUACCAGUGAAGAUGCUGGUUACCUGCGCCAGGACGGAAAGACCCCAUGGAGCUUUACUCCAGUUUGGUACUGGGAUCCGGUACUGCAUGUACAGGAUAGGUGGGAGGCUGAGAAUCGGUAACGCCAGUUGUCGAGGAGCCGCUGUUGGGAUACCACCCUUGCAGUAUUGGGUUUCUAACCAGCCGCCGUGACCCGGCGGUGGGACAAUGCCAGACGGGGAGUUUGACUGGGGCGGUCGCCUCCGAAAGGGUAUCGGAGGCGCCCAAAGGUUCCCUCAGGACGGACGGAAACCAUCCAAAGAGUGCAAAGGCAGAAGGGAGCUUGACUGCGACACCGACGGGUGGAGCAGGUACGAAAGUAGGGCUUAGUGAUCCGGUGGUAUUAAGUGGGAAUGCCAUCGCUCAACGGAUAAAAGCUACCCUGGGAUAACAGGCUUAUCACUCCCAAGAGUUCACAUCGACGGAGUGGUUUGGCACCUCGAUGUCGGCUCAUCGCAUCCUGGGGCUGUAGUAGGUCCCAAGGGUUGGGCUGUUCGCCCAUUAAAGCGGUACGCGAGCUGGGUUCAGAACGUCGUGAGACAGUUCGGUCCCUAUCCGGCGUGGGCGUAGGAUAUCUGAGAGGAGCUGUCCUUAGUACGAGAGGACCGGGAUGGACGGGCCGCUGGUGCACCGGUUAGACUGCCAAGUCUAUAGCCGGGUAGCCAAGCCCGGAAGGGAUAAACGCUGAAGGCAUCUAAGCGUGAAGCCCCCCUCAAGAUGAGAUAUCCCAUCCGAAAGGAGUAAACCCCCUUGAAGACGACGAGGUCGAUAGGGCAGAGGUGGAAGUGUGGUAACACAUGGAGCUGACUGCUACUAAUAGGGUGAGGGCUUGACC
rnacentral:rRNA from 1 species